GGUGAACGCUAGCUACAGGCUUAACACAUGCAAGUCGCGGGGCAGCAUGGGGGUUGCUUGCAAUCCCCGAUGGCGACCGGCGCACGGGUGAGUAACGCGUAUCCAACCUGCCCUUCACCACGGGAUAACCCGGCGAAAGUCGGACUAAUACCGUAUGUUGUCCAUUGACGGCAUCCGAUUUGGACGAAAGGUUUGGCGGUGAAGGAUGGGGAUGCGUCCGAUUAGCUGGACGGCGGGGUGACGGCCCACCGUGGCGACGAUCGGUAGGGGUUCUGAGAGGAAGGUCCCCCACACUGGAACUGAGACACGGUCCAGACUCCUACGGGAGGCAGCAGUGAGGAAUAUUGGUCAAUGGGCGUAAGCCUGAACCAGCCAAGUAGCGUGCAGGAUGACGGCCCUAUGGGUUGUAAACUGCUUUUAUGCGGGGAUAAAGUGGCCCACGUGUGGGUUUUUGCAGGUACCGCAUGAAUAAGGACCGGCUAAUUCCGUG
rnacentral:rRNA from 1 species